rnacentral:lncRNA from 1 species
ACAUGUAAUUUAUAGAGAAGUGAACAGGGUGGUCAAGGAGCCCUUUUCAGUGCUGUUCAUCUUUUUUGAUGUCCACCUAAUUGUCAUUUGUGGCUUCCAGGAUCUGUAGCAUGUGCAUCAAUCACAUCCCUCUAAACCGUUUCAGCUGAUAGGCUAAACCAGGUUGAGGGUAAUCAGCAGAUUUCAAAUUCAUUAGUGAGUUAAGAGAGUGUCUACCCCAGACACGUGAGGACGUUCCCUAGUGAAAGGAGUGUAUAAAUUUGUUUCAAGGACCUUGAUGUGUGACAGAGGCUGCCACUAAAGAAAAAGUGCCAGGCUGAAGAGUGUGUGAAAUUGAUCACCUCAAUGGGAGAGGGACCCCAAGAGUGGAAUCUGGAGGAGGAGAAGACUCUGGCUGGUAGAGGAGGGGUCUUGGUCUUGGGAAGCAGAUGUCAGAAGAAGUGUUCCAAGAAGGAGCCCUGAGACCUUACCUUUGGUGGAUGGAGAACUGACAUUUCAGGAUCCAUACUUUGAGACAUAAUUGAAUUGGACCAGAGACUACAGCUCCAACUGUCCUUUAUAAUGCAGUUGAGGAAAGACUCUUUGAAUUCACUUUGGAAGAACCUAUGGCAAUUUUCACUCUUCCAAUUUUAUUCUUGAAAAGGUUUUAUUGGCAUCUAUUACUGGGGUAGUUGUCAUGUGCUGAAUAUGAGGCAGUGGGAAAGACUACUCUAGGAAAUGCCUAGGGUUUUUUCUUUUUUUUAUUAACAGCUCAGUAUCCUCUAACAUUCCUUUUAAAACCUCUUUAUACGGUCUAAUAUGAGACCGUAUAAACAUCCUUUAAAAAUUCCAGGGUUGUGACAACAACUCCUACAAGUGAUUAUCCAGUUUCUACUCAAGGGAGAUGUUUCCAGGUACAUUGGAUAGAGCACUAAGCCUAGUCAUCUUCCUGAAUUUAAAACCAACCUCAGAUACUAAGUAGUGGGCAGACCACUUACACCUAUUUGCCUCAGUUUUCUCAUCUGCAAAAUGAGCUGGAGAAGGAAAAGACAAAUCUCUCUAGUAUCUCUACCAAGAAAACCCCAAAUGGUGUUGUGAGAAGUCAGACAUGACUGGAAAACAACUGAACAAUUCCAGUGGAAGAGAAUUCCCUUGAUUCCUGAAGGAGUCCAUUGAAUUUUGGGAAAUCUCUUUCUUAUAGCUGUAACUGUCACUUAAUUGAUCCUAACUCUUGUCCUCUGUAGACAAGUAAAAUUAAAUUUCUCUAUUUAAAAAUGAAGAUCUUCUAUCUAUCUAUCUAUCUAUCUAUCUAUCUAUCUAUCUAUCCCUUUUAAGUCUUCCCUAAUUUAAGAUAAGCACUCCUACUUUCUUCAGUGGAUCCUUAUAGCUAUUGCUUCAAGUUCCUUGUAAAUCCUUAUUCUCCCACUAUUGAGACAUUCCAAUUGAUUAACAUCCUUCCUAAAAAGAAACUCCUGGUACUGAAAACAGAAUUAAAGUACCUUAAACUUAUUGAGUGUUUUUAAAUAAAAAAGUUAUUUUUACUGUUUCA